AUGAUCACUUCAGCAAAUAUACUAACAUUGAAACAAUGCAGAGAUGUUUAGCAUGGCUCCUGUGCUAGGAUUCAUGAGAGUUUGUGAAAAGUUCUAUAUUUUU